ACUCGCAUAUCUCGAGAAUGAAGCUGCUGUUUUUCCUGAUUCUGAUACUUGCUGUUUACACUAUGUACACUCAAGGUUGUAAAGCAGACACUAGCCAUUUAUGUGCUUCCGAUAAUGACUGUGCCGAGGGACUGAAAUGCGUAUAUAUUGAACUCCUAUAUCUUGUCUGCAUGGAGGCAGACUAAAAAAGUUAACAUUUUUCUUUCUCUCACAUGAUGUUUAAAAACAUGAUGUGAAUGUUAAAUCGGCGUGCCAUCUAGUGGAGUUUUUAAAAUACAUACUGAUUUUGAAUUAAAAUUCUAUUGUU